rnacentral:rRNA from 1 species
CCUACGGGAGGCAGCAGUGAGGAAUAUUGGUCAAUGGGCGAGAGCCUGAACCAGCCAAGUCGCGUGAGGGAGUACUGCCCUAUGGGUUGUAAACCUCUUUUGUCGGGGAGCAAAAGCCGGACGUGUCCGGCUGUGAGAGUACCCGAAGAAAAAGCAUCGGCUAACUCCGUGCCAGCAGCCGCGGUAAUACGGAGGAUGCGAGCGUUAUCCGGAUUUAUUGGGUUUAAAGGGUGCGCAGGCGGAUUUUUAAGUCAGCGGUAAAAUCGUGGGGCUCAACCCCAUCCAGCCGGUGAAACUGGGGAUCUAGAGUGUGCGAGAGGUAUGCGGAAUGUGUGGUGUAGCGGUGAAAUGCAUAGAUAUCACGCAGAACCCCGAUUGCGAAGGCAGCAUACCGGUGCACAACUGACGCUCAGGCACGAAAGCGUGGGUAUCGAACAGGAUUAGAUACCCCAGUAGUC